AUGCCACAAAACGAUGUCGUCGUCACUUAAUUUUUUACGUUUUACCAGUAUAGCUGUUUUAUGCAUGAAUUAGGGAUUUUCACACAAAUUGGGGGAAAUUGAGGAUGCGCUAUCAAGAAGCCGAGGAGGAAAUUUACAGAGAAUUGAUUACUUUAUUCGGAUCUGAUCGAACCAGUUGGAAAAAGAACAAAAAAAUGUUGAAGAUUGCACAAAGAUUGAGGUUGUCGUUUUAGUCCGUGAAUAAUCGACCAGGGAGAAAUUGAGUUCCACUGCACUAACUACUAAGAAGAAUGGAAGCCGAGAAGGCGAGGAAGCUUCAGUUAGAAGGUCAGUUUUACUCUACAGGUAUCAUGUUAUGUAAAUUCUCAGAUGUGCAGAGGUAAAAUUCUCAAUUUGCUUGUUUAUUGAAUGAAAAUUCUUAGAUCAUUUGUUCCAUAGCAAAUUUUACAGGACAUAAUUACCAUUUGCUUCUAAACUUUAAUUUUGUAUAAUUGAGAAUCAUAAUCUAUUAUUCAUAAUGUCAAUAGUUCAC